CAAAAGUGAAAGACGGUCUUGCUGUCACUUAUAGAUGGAUCCGCGCUGCAUUAGCUAGUUGGUAAGGUAACGGCUUACCAAGGCAACGAUGCAUAGCCGACCUGAGAGGGUGAUCGGCCACACUGGAACUGAGACACGGUCCAGACUCCUACGGGAGGCAGCAGUAGGGAAUCUUCCGCAAUGGGCGAAAGCCUGACGGAGCAACGCCGCGUGAGUGAUGAAGGUCUUCGGAUCGUAAAACUCUGUUAUUAGGGAAGAACAUAUGUGUAAGUAACUGUGCACAUCUUGACGGUACCUAAUCAGAAAGCCACGGCUAACUACGUGCCAGCAGCCGCGGUAAUACGUAGGUGGCAAGCGUUAUCCGGAAUUAUUGGGCGUAAAGCGCGCGUAGGCGGUUUUUUAAGUCUGAUGUGAAAGCCCACGGCUCAACCGUGGAGGGUCAUUGGAAACUGGAAAACUUGAGUGCAGAAGAGGAAAGUGGAAUUCCAUGUGUAGCGGUGAAAUGCGCAGAGAUAUGGAGGAACACCAGUGGCGAAGGCGACUUUCUGGUCUGUAACUGACGCUGAUGUGCGAAAGCGUGGGGAUCAAACAGGAUUAGAUACCCUGGUAGUCCACGCCGUAAACGAUGAGUGCUAAGUGUUAGGGGGUUUCCGCCCCUUAGUGCUGCAGCUAACGCAUUAAGCACUCCGCCUGGGGAGUACGACCGCAAGGUUGAAACUCAAAGGAAUUGACGGGGACCCGCACAAGCGGUGGAGCAUGUGGUUUAAUUCGAAGCAACGCGAAGAACCUUACCAAAUCUUGACAUCCUUUGACAACUCUAGAGAUAGAGCUUUCCCCUUCGGGGGACAAAGUGACAGGUGGUGCAUGGUUGUCGUCAGCUCGUGUCGUGAGAUGUUGGGUUAAGUCCCGCAACGAGCGCAACCCUUAAGCUUAGUUGCCAUCAUUAAGUUGGGCACUCUAAGUUGACUGCCGGUGACAAACCGGAGGAAGGUGGGGAUGACGUCAAAUCAUCAUGCCCCUUAUGAUUUGGGCUACACACGUGCUACAAUGGACAAUACAAAGGGCAGCGAAACCGCGAGGUCAAGCAAAUCCCAUAAAGUUGUUCUCAGUUCGGAUUGUAGUCUGCAACUCGACUACAUGAAGCUGGAAUCGCUAGUAAUCGUAGAUCAGCAUGCUACGGUGAAUACGUUCCCGGGUCUUGUACACACCGCCCGUCACACCACGAGAGUUUGUAACACCCGAAGCCGGUGGAGUAACCUUUUAGGAGCUAGCCGUCGAAGGUGGGACAAAUGAUUGGGGUGAAGUCGUAACAAGGUAGCCGUAUCGGAAGGUGCGGCUGGAUCACCU
rnacentral:rRNA from 1 species